CCCAGGCCUUGUACACACCGCCCGUCACAUCAUGAAAGCCGCUUGUACCCGAAGUCGCCCCUGAUAAGGCGCCGAAGGUAUGGGUGGUGAUUGGGAUG
rnacentral:rRNA from 1 species